UCAACACCUCCUGAUAUUUGUUCUGGAAUGCUUCCAUGAAUUGUUCCAUGCAAAAAUCUUUCCAAGGAUUUCUUUAGAAACUUCUCUUAAAUUCCAAAAAGUAAGGAAUUGUAAGAAUUCGUAAAAAAAACGUUCAGAAAUUCUUCUGAGCACACCUCCAAGAAUUUAUUCUAUAGUAUUUUCCACUUAGAAUUUGGCCGUUUCUUUUUAACUACUGUGGCGCCUCUAGCGCUCCCGUAGCGAAAAACUUUUUACUGAUCCAAGAGAAAUGUUUAUUCAGUGAUUUGUCAAGGUAUUACCUUUUCUGGGAAUAACUGAAAUGCACUGAAGAGCCAGAAAUACAUUUCCAAGAAAUAAAACGACAACUUUACAUGGAACACCCAAAACUAGAGAUAACCCUAUCGGUGGACGAAGAAAACGCUCUCACCUUGUACG